ensembl:snoRNA
GUCUGGAUUUAAAGCCAGACCAGUGCACCGGUUUAAACUGAUGGCAGGCCUGUCCCCUGGGUCUCAGUGCCCCAGGCCCGAGCAAGCUGCGCUUGAACCAUUGCCCGGCCUGUGCCUGUAGGCUGCAGGCACUGAAGCAGGUUGCACAGUG